UGUGGUCAAGGCAUCUCUUGAACAAUGGGUCUCAAUUCCAACUGCAUAUUUUAAUCACCUGGGGGAAGUUCUUUAAAAAUACAAAGGUCUGGAACACAUCUCCAGAGAUUUUGAUUGAAGUGGUGUGGGCAUGGAACUCUGGUUUCCCAGGUAACUCAACCUCCAUGCCUUGCCUUCUCCCCCCUCUCCAGUCUAAGACCUUGCUAUUUCAAGUGUGGUCUCUGGCUAGACAGCAUCAGCAUCACUUGGAAUGUUGCCAGAAUGAAGAAUCUCAUGCACUGCCCUUGAACUAGUGAAUCAAAAUCUGCAUCUUAACAAAAUUCCCUGGUGGUCUUGGAGACCCCAGAAUUACUCUGAGCUAGAGUCCAGAGGUUCUCAGAGACCAAGGAUUUCCAUGCAUUUGGGGGCACACAGAAAAGUGAGAGGUCAGAGGAUCCUGCAUAUUUUUGAGCCAGUUACCAAGAAGAGAUUUGGGACAGAUUGGUGGCUAUGAGGUGGCGACUAAGCUCUGCUCCCUGUGUCCUCCCAUUCCAGAAUCCAGAGUAAAAGAUAAUUCACUAUUUGGGACACACUGUUUUCAUGACAGAGGAAAAAGAGCAAGAGAGCUGCUGACAGAAACUCCAGAUGCUCCUUAAAGCUUCUGCUCAGUCAUGGCACACACCAUGUCCACUCACAUUCAUUACCCAAAGCCCUUCCAUGGUCAAGCCCAGAAUCAAGUGGGCAGGGACUCACCCUCCAUCCCCCACAGAAGCUACUGAAAGACACACAGCAACAGGCAGGAAUUGAUAAUCUUCUCAUAUAGAAGGGGGAAUCAAUUAUUUCAGAACAAUAAUACAACUUACCAUUCCUUUAGACUCCACCCAGGUAACUUAUAUCCAGUAUAGGGAUUUUCUCCCCAUGUCAACUAAAAAGAAAUGUGAUAUGAUUUUUUUUUUUGCCCUCUUAGAAUUGUUAUUAAGCCCUGUGCAACAUUUGCCAAAUCAUUCUUCAGAAUAUUACUGUCCCCUGAGAUGUUAACAGUUGUUAAGCAACUAAAAAGGAUUCCCUGGUCAAGUAAGUUUGGAAAAUGUUCUACGUUAAUAGCCCUCUCGUAAUAUUCACAAUUCUGUAUUAUCAGAUUAAAUGCUCUCGACGAAGCCUGCUGUAGAGAUAGCUACUUAACCCAAGAUUGUGAUCAUAGAUUUCUUUCCAGAAUGGCAGAAUCAUUAAUAUCUCAUGAGAUUCCAGUGACUAACAUUGCCCUAAAGGAUUACAGGAGAACCACCCGGAUGGAUUCUUGUUGCUUCUUCAUUUCUGUGCAUCCAGACUGAAGGACACUGAAUGAUGUUAAGAGGAGGUAUGCAUGAAGUCAACACAUCUGUACAGGACUCCUAAAGAAGGCUUGUGUUUUUGGCUAAGAUCAAACUCUGUGUGAGAAACCUGAAAAUGCUAAUUUGGAUACUACUCUUUGCCUGCUGAAUUAAGUAUAAACACAUUAGACUGGC